GUGGAUUUGAUACCCGGGUAGUCCACGCCGUAAACGAUGAUAACUAGCUGUCAGGGCACUUGGUGCUUUGGUGGCGCAGCUAACGCAUUAAGUUAUCCGCCUGGGGAGUACGGUCGCAAGAUUAAAACUCAAAGGAAUUGACGGGGGCCUGCACAAGCGGUGGAGCAUGUGGUUUAAUUCGAAGCAACGCGCAGAACCUUACCAGCGUUUGACAUGUCCGGACGAUUUCCAGAGAUGGAUCUCUUCCCUUCGGGGACUGGAACACAGGUGCUGCACGGCCGUCGCCAGCU
rnacentral:rRNA from 1 species